UCACUGGACACUGUGAACAUCCACGGUCACCACUUCAUGCAUAAUGGACCUUCCAUGUGUAUGGACAUGUGCAGAUUCAUUGAGAGUAACAAACUAGAGACUACAUCCAAAUAUGCCUUCAGAGGACUCAGGGACCUGACUCACUUGUCUUUGGCAAACAAUAACAUUAAAGCCUUGCC